CUUCACUUCCUCGCCUUUCAGGUGGCGGAUUCCUCUGAAUGACAUGUCGAGCUCUUCGCACGCAACUCCGCCUCACAAACAGUGCGCGCGCACGCCACGCGCACACGCUCAUACGGAUACAAGCUACACGAGACUCUACUUCUGAAUUCUGUGACUUACCUGUGUCCUUGCUCUUGACUGCCCAGACGGCACUGAUGUCACUUACUCCCUGGGUACCAGCGGGUGCCGAUACAGCGUGAGCAGAACUUGCAGGUUUGACAUCAGCUUUCAUGGUGGCGUCCAAGGAGGUUUCUGCGUCAUCAGGGAACGGAGC